CAGGCCUAACACAUGCAAGUCGAACGAUGGCUUCGGCCAUAGUGGCGCACGGGUGCGUAACGCGUGGGAAUCUGCCCUUGGGUUCGGAAUAACAGCGAGAAAUUGCUGCUAAUACCGGAUGAUGACGUAAGUCCAAAGAUUUAUCGCCCAAGGAUGAGCCCGCGUAGGAUUAGCUAGUUGGUGAGGUAAAAGCUCACCAAGGCGACGAUCCUUAGCUGGUCUGAGAGGAUGAUCAGCCACACUGGGACUGAGACACGGCCCAGACUCCUACGGGAGGCAGCAGUGGGGAAUAUUGGACAAUGGGCGAAAGCCUGAUCCAGCAAUGCCGCGUGAGUGAUGAAGGCCCUAGGGUUGUAAAGCUCUUUUACCCGGGAUGAUAAUGACAGUACCGGGAGAAUAAGCCCCGGCUAACUCCGUGCCAGCAGCCGCGGUAAU
rnacentral:rRNA from 1 species